rnacentral:misc_RNA from 1 species
UUAAAUAUAUAAAUUUCAGCUUGUAUUUUUAAAAAAUAAAAUUUAGGAGGGGAAGGAGGUGGGACCCAGAUGGCAGGGAUAGGUGGUAACAAGGUGCAGUAUUACCUGCAUCCGUGUUACACGCGCCUAAGAAGCUGCGAAGAGACAAAAGAAAACAUUCUCGAGAAAAAAACAAAGUGAGAACUCAAAACCCAAAAAUGUUUUGUUUUUCUUAAGAAAAGAGAGGAAAAUUUAAGUUAAGAAAAGAAAAAUUGGAGCUCGAGACAAAUGAACAGUGCUUUAGUUCUUGAGGUUCUUCCGUUUCACUGGAAAAAAUCUGUAAGGAUUCUUCUGUCAUGCUCUCUAAAACUAACCUUUCCAGGCUGAAUUUCCUCGAAAAGCUUGAAAAUUUAAUUUGUGUGUACCACGCGCUAUGGUCCUCUUCGCCUCUUUCCGGUUGACCCCUCGAUUAAAGAAGUAAGAAUCCAUGGGCUUUAUUACAAGGCAGGUUAACGUUAAGAAUGUUAUGGGUCCCACUAUAUCCGCUCUGGUUGAAGGACGAACCAUUGGUGCGUAUAUAACACAUUCUCUAUGUAACAGUAUAGCUACAAGGUUUCUCCUAUCACCAACUCAUAUCUUCCUUCUCGUAAACUGUCUUGCACGGAUCAACUUGUUCUCUGCUACACUUCUGCACUCUCUUCUGAUUCACUGCUCAACUUUUUUUUUUUCAGCUUCUCUUGAGCCUCCCAAUUUGUCUCCAUUGCGCUUCUCUUCUUCUUUAUUUUUCCUUUAUCUGGUCACUUCAUCAUCUUCUUUUGUCUCCCUGUUCAAGGAAACAGCUUCAGCCAUGGACGCGACAGCAGGCAAAGAGAAGCUGGUAGUGGAGGUGGUGGCAGCCCACAACUUAAUACCCAAAGAUGGAGAAGGUUCGUCUUCCCCAUUUGUAGAGAUAGAGUUUGAGAACCAAAGACUCAGAACCCAAGUUAAGUACAAAGACUUGAACCCCAUUUGGAAUGAAAAGCUCGUCUUUAAUGUGAAGGACGUUGCAGAUCUUCCUUACAGAACCAUAGAGGUCAAUGUCUUUAAUGAAAAAAGAUCCAGCAAUAGUAGAAACUUUCUAGGUAAAGUUCGAAUUUCUGGUUCAAGCAUUGCUAAAGAAGGCGAAAAAAUGGUGCAGUUGCAUACUCUGGAGAAAAGAAGUUUGUUUUCUCAUGUGAGGGGGGAGAUAAGUUUGAAGCUUUAUGUAUCUGUAAGAGAAGAGGUUAAAGAAGUUGUGGACUUGGGUAAUGGAGCUGUAGUCUCUGGCUCUUCUGGUCCCCGGCCUGCUUCUUCAAAGAAGAGCAAGAAGCUGCAGCAGCAGAGUCCGGCUAUAGUGCAGCAACAGCAGCAGUUGACACAAGAAACUAACAAGCAAACGCAACAGCAAGGCCAAAACAAUGCAAAGCCUGUGGAGCCAAACUCAGGUGAGAUCAAACAUAUUGUUAUCACAACUGGUCCUACUCCUGUUGCUCCUGGGUCUGGUGGCGGCCGGGUUAUCACUACACCGGGUGGCGUUGUUAGCGGCGGCGGCGGUGGGGUCAGUCUGUAUACAAAUAUGUCUAGCGAGUUCUCUCUUAAAGAGACAAGUCCGCACCUUGGUGGUGGUCUUUUAAACAAAGACAAGUCUAGUGCAACUUAUGAUCUUGUAGAGCAAAUGCAGUAUCUUUAUGUUAAAGUUGUAAAGGCUAAAGAUAUUACAUUGUUUGGUGGCGGUGAAAUUGUGGGUGAGGUGAAGAUAGGGAACUACAGAGGGAUCACAAAAAGGGUGGGUUCAAGCAAUAUGGAAUGGGACCAAGUUUUUGCAUUUUCUAAAGAUUGCAUGCAGUCGUCAAUGGUGGAGAUUUUUGUCAAAGAAGGUAACAAAGAUGAUUACUUGGGCCGUGUUUCGUUUGAUUUGAGUGAGAUUCCAAGAAGAGUACCACCGGAUAGCCAAUUAGCCCCACAAUGGUAUAGAAUGGAGGACAAGAAAGGGAAUAAAGCUAAAGGUGGUGAAGUGAUGGUUUCAAUAUGGUUUGGGACUCAAGUUGACGAGGCUUUUGCUGAGGCUUGGCAUUCGAAGGCAGCAAAUGUGCAUUUUGAUGGGCUUUGCUCUACCAAAUCCAAGGUUUAUCUAUCACCAAAGCUGUGGUAUUUAAGGGUAUCUGUUAUUGAAGCACAAGAUAUUGUUCCUUGGGACAAUGGGUCUCCAAUGAUGAGGUUCCCGGAGCUUUUCAUCAAAGUCCUGGUGGGAAACCAGAUUUUGAGGACUAAAAUUGCGGGGCCCAACCCCAACAGGAGCAUGUCCAGUCCUUAUUGGAAUGAAGAUUUGUUGUUUGUAGUUGCAGACCCAUUUGAGGAAUACUUGGUGAUUUCUGUUGAGGACCGUGUUGGAGCUGGAAGAGAGGAAACAGUGGGCAGAGUUUUGCUUCCAAUAACCGCAGUUGAGAAGCGUAACGACGAAAAGCAAGUCGAUUCUAGGUGGUUCAAUCUUGAUAAUCAUCUUGGUAGUGCAGUUGAUUCAAAAAUUAUGACAAGAUUUGGGUCUAAAAUUCACCUCAGGGUGUCUCUUGAUGGGGGUUACCAUGUGCUUGAUGAGGCUACAAUGUAUAGCAGUGAUGUUAAAGCGACUGCAAAACAGUUAUGGAAGCCUCACAUCGGUGUGCUUGAGAUGGGAAUUUUGGGAGCAUCAGGACUUGUGCCAACAAAACUCAAGGAAGGAAAAGGAGAGUCUGCAAAUGCUUACUGUGUAACAAAGUAUGGUCAGAAAUGGGUGAGAACUCGCACGGUUGUAGAUAGCUUAUCGCCAAAAUGGAAUGAGCAGUACACGUGGGAAGUGUUUGAUCCUUGCACAGUCAUCACAAUUGGGGUAUUUGAUAAUUGCCAUGCCGAAAAGAAUGCAGUUAACAAUGCCUGUGAUUCUCGAAUCGGAAAAGUUAGAAUUCGGCUAUCAACUCUCGAAUCAGACAGGGUUUAUACUCACUCUUAUCCGCUCCUAAUGCUGCAUCCUACCGGAGUCAAAAAGAUGGGCGAGCUUCAUUUAGCAGUAAGGUUUUCUUGUGUUAAUAUGGCGAACAUGUUGCACAUGUACACACUGCCACUGUUACCAAAGAUGCACUAUGUGCAACCAUUGAGUGUGAAUCAAUUGGAGGCCUUGAGGUAUCAGGCAAUGAAUGUGGUGGCAUCAAGGCUAAGCCGAGCAGAGCCACCACUGGGGCGAGAAGUGGUGGAGUAUAUGCUUGAUCAUGACUCUCAUAUGUGGAGCAUGAGAAGA